rnacentral:rRNA from 1 species
CUUUAUUAAUUAUUGGAAAACUAUAUGAGAUUUACCUUUUGCAUAAUGGUUUUAUUAUAAUUAAAAAAUUUUUUUAGACUCGAAAUAAAAUGAUCUAAUAAUAUAAUUUUGUUAUGUUUCAAAAUAAUAUAUUUAUAGAAUUAUUAGGGGUGAAAGGCUUAUCAAAUUUUAUGAUAUCUAGAUAAUAAUUAAAUGUAUUUAGUACAAUACUCAUCUGUUGAAUAAUUCUUCGUUAAGGAAGAAUUUGAAGAGAAAAUAUUUCUUACUUUAAAUUUAUACUAAUCUUAUUAUAAUAUUAUAAAAACUAAAAUAAAUUUAUACAUUUUUCUUAUUUCCUUAAUUAUUAAGUUUAUUUAAUUUCUAUUAUUCUAUAUAUUGUAAAAAUUAGUAUUAUUUAAUUAGUUUUAUCUAAGGAACUCGGCAAAUUUUUAUUCAACUGUUUAUCAAAAACAUAGUUUUAAGAAUAUAUAUUUAAAAUGAUUCCUGCCCUAUGAUUUAUUUUUAAAUGGCCGCAGUACUUUAACUGUGCUAAGGUAGCAUAAUAAUUUGGCUUUUAAUUAAAGUCUGGAAUAAAUGGAUUUAUGGAUAUAUACUGUCUUAGGUAAAUUAAAAAAAACUUAUUAAAAAGGUGAAAAUACCUUUAUUUAAUAAUUAGACGAGAAGACCCUAGGAGUUUUUAUUUUGUUGGGGCGACAUUCUUGUAUUGAACCAAGAAAAAUACAAUUCAACGAUUAUAUUAAUAUUAAUUAAACUACCCUAGGGAUAACAGCAUAAUUUUAUU